AGCCAUGCAUGUGUAAGUACGAGCAAGUUAAUGCUCUAGCCGCGGACGGCUCAUUAAAUCAGCUAUGAUUUGUUGGUUCUGUACACCCAGUUUAUUUGGAUAACUGUGGUAAUUCUAGAGCUAAUACAUGAUUCCUAGAGUCCCUAACUUGUGUAUUAAAUUACAGAGGAAGGGUGCUUUUACUAUUGAAACCAAACUUGGUGUUGUAAUAUCAUGCUUCGGUGUGUUUUACAAUAAAUCCCAUAUAUGAUGACUCAGAAUAAUUUCUGGCUGAGCGCAUGGCCUCUGUGCUAGCGCUGUUUCUUUCAAGUGUCUGCCUUAUCAGCUUUCGAUUGUAAGUUAUGUGCUUACAAUGGCUAUAACGGGUAACGGGGAAUCAGGGUUCGAUUCCGGAGAGGGAGCCUGAGAAACGGCUACCAGUUCUAAGGAAGGCAGCAGGCACGCAAAUUACCCACUCCCAGCACGGGGAGGUAGUGACGAAAAAUAACGAUGCAAGACUCAUCCGAGGCUUUGCAAUCGGAAUGAGAACACUUUAAAUCCUUUAUCUAGGAUCCAUUGGAGGGCAAGUCUGGUGCCAGCAGCCGCGGUAAUUCCAGCUCCAAUAGCAUAUAUUAAAGUUGUUGCGGUUAAAAAGCUCGUAGUUGGGUCUGUACAUGAGCUAUGACCUCUAGUCGGCACAUUGUGUUUGACUAUAAACAAAGACUCAUCCCAAUCUACUCACUGUUACAGUGGGUUUAGCCAAUUUAACACGGUAAUGCUCUUUACUGAGUAUACCGAGUGGUUGGCAUGUUUACUUUGAAUAAAUUAGAGUGCUUAAAACAGGCAAACAUGAAGCCUGAAUAGACAUGCAUGGAAUAAUAGAACAAGACCUCGAUUCUAUUGUUUUCUUUACACCGGGUUUGAAAGAACCGAGGUAAUGAUUAAAAGAGACUGCCGGGGGCAUCUGUACUGCGGCGCUAGAGGUGAAAUUCUUGGACCGUCGCAUGACAAACAACAGCGAAAGCAUUUGCCAAGAAUGUCUUCAUUAAUCAAGAACGAAAGUUAGAGGUUCGAAGGCGAUCAGAUACCGCCCUAGUUCUAACCAUAAACGAUGCUAACCAGCAAUCCGCCAGUGUUAUACCAAUGACCUGUGCGGGCAACUUCCGGGAAACCAAAGUUUUUGAGUUCCGGGGGAAGUAUGGUUGCAAAUCUGAAACUUAAAGGAAUUGACGGAAGGGCACCACCAGGAGUGGAGCCUGCGGCUUAAUUUGACUCAACACGGGAAAACUCACCAGGCCCGGACACUGGAAGGAUUGACAGAUUGAGAGCUCUUUCUCGAUUCAGUGGUUGGUGGUGCAUGGCCGUUCUUAGUUGGUGGAGCGAUUUGUCUGGUUAAUUCCGAUAACGAACGAGACUCUGGCCUAUUAACUAGUCGAUGGAUCA
rnacentral:rRNA from 1 species